UGCCUACGGGAGGCAGCAGUGGGGAAUAUUGCACAAUGGGGGAAACCCUGAUGCAGCGACGCCGCGUGAAGGAAGAAGUAUCUCGGUAUGUAAACUUCUAUCCGCAGGGAAGAAAAUGACGGUACCUGACUAAGAAGCCCCGGCUAACUACGUGCCAGCAGCCGCGGUAAUACGUAGGGGGCAAGCGUUAUCCGGAUUUACUGGGUGUAAAGGGAGCGUAGACGGAAGAGCAAGUCUGAUGUGAAAGGCUGGGGCUUAACCCCAGGACUGCAUUGGAAACUGUUUUUCUAGAGUGCCGGAGAGGG
rnacentral:rRNA from 1 species